rnacentral:rRNA from 1 species
GACGAACGCUGGCGGCGUGCCUAAUACAUGCAAGUCGAGCGAGCUGAUUCAAGAUCCCUUCGGGGUGAUUUGUUGGACGCGAGCGGCGGAUGGGUGAGUAACACGUGGGCAACCAGCCAUAAAGACUGGGAUACCACUUGGAAACAGGUGCUAAUACCGGAUAACAACAGAAGCUGCAUGGCUUUUGUUUGAAAGGCGGCUUUAAGCUGUCACUUUAGGAUGGGCCCGCGGUGCAUUAGCUAGUUGGUGAGGUAACGGCUCACCAAGGCAAUGAUGCAUAGCCGAGUUGAGAGACUGAUCGGCCACAUUGGGACUGAGACACGGCCCAAACUCCUACGGGAGGCAGCAGUAGGGAAUCUUCCACAAUGGACGCAAGUCUGAUGGAGCAACGCCGCGUGAGUGAAGAAGGUUUUCGGAUCGUAAAGCUCUGUUGUUGGUGAAGAAGGACGGCAGUAGUAACUGGCUGUCGUUUGACGGUAAUCAACCAGAAAGUCACGGCUAACUACGUGCCAGCAGCCGCGGUAAUACGUAGGUGGCAAGCGUUGUCCGGAUUUAUUGGCGUAAAGCGAGCGCAGGCGGAAAGAUAAGUCUGAAGUG